AUGAAAAUUUAGGAUCCCUCAAAGUGUAUAGAGAACCUGAUAUCUAUAAGUUCCCACAAAACACACAAAAUCAGAGAUAAGUAAAUUACACAGUGAAGUUUUACGUGAAAAACUUCUAGCUCACAGGAUUAGAACUACGACCUACAUUCGUAGAAUUUCAACUCACUAACUCAGCAAAGUUCAGAUUACAAAUUUGUCACGACCCAAAUCGAUUGGACGCGACGGGCACUCGUUCCUUUACUCAACUGAGUACCAACUUAACGUAUCGAUCUUUCUUAUUACAUCUAUCAUAUACACGUGACAUACGAGCUUAAUAGAUCAAUAUGAUCAUUUAUAAACUCAAAACAUAGACCGACCAGGCUAUAUAAAUAUUCGUAUACAUGACAUCUGUCUACAAGACUCUAAGAGUACAUAAGUAUCAUAAAGGUCGGGACUGAGCCCCCCAGACCAAUCAAUACAUGUCCUAAUUAUACUGACCAAAUAAGCAUCUUCGGAGCAAAUGGAGCUCACCAACAUCUUCCGCUGAACAGAUAGCCUACAUGGAGGACUCUCGACCUGUCUAUCGGGACCUGCGGGCAUGAAACGCAGCGUCCCCAGAAAAAAAGGGACGUUAGUACAAAUAAUGUACCGAGUAUGUAAAGAAUGAAAAUUAGUAAAUAAUAGACAUAAGAGAAAUAUGUAGUAAAAGACUUGACAUGUAAAUCUGAAUAACUCUGCAAAUCAUGAAAUACUCAUAGUGUCUAAAUGUCAUGUCGUGCAUAGGUAUAUAUGUUCAUAACAUCAUCAAUCCUCUGAGGGCAUCCCAUCAUAUCAUUUCCACUACUGUGGGUAAAAUCGUCAACGCAUACCAGCUGAUCAGGUGCUAGUGCGUAUAUAACACCGUAACCUUUUUUCCGUAUCCAAUAUAAAUAUAAUAUACAUAUAUAUGCAUUUAUAAUGUCAUCUGAUCAUAGGUCAAUGUACAUGUAUAAUGCAUGAAAUGCAUAAGAAAUGCGUUAAUAAGAUUUCUCGGAAUGUGUCGAUAUAUAUUUCGGAUAAACUUUGUCAAAUACGUAUAUUUUGAGACCCAUGAACAGAAAAUAUAAUAAUAAUUCACAUGGGGAAUCAAGAAUAUGGGUACCCCUAGUAUUUCCAUAAACAUUGUCAUUUAUGAAAGUUGUGUAUUUUGCUCGUUUCAUUUGUAUUAUUUGGAUCGUGCCCAAAAAAAGAAGGGAUAACCUUAACAUACCCGAGCCAAUUCUCUUGACAAUCCUUUUAACACACGUCAACUGUAUCAACACAUAACGAUGGAUUGAAGUAAGAAAAAAUCCGCAUGAUAUUAUUGAAAAACAUUGUACCGUACUUUCUUAGAAUUGAAUCUCCAACAUAAUCAGAUCUUGUAUGGAGAAUUUGUUGAAGCUCAUCCGUCACUUAGUGAAUAUGACCAUCUUCAUCUCAUGCUUAAUCUCACCCAACAUUGAAGUUUUGUUUUCGUUAGAGAACAAAUGGAAACAACAGUAGGUGCCUGUGAAAGUGCUACAGAGGGAUUUAACUUUUAAGGAUAUGAAACAAACAAUGGCAACUCUUGCAUAGAAAUGUUAGAAGCAACUUCUUUUC
rnacentral:lncRNA from 1 species